GAAUCUUGGACAAUGGGGGCAACCCUGAUCCAGCCAUGCCGCGUGAGUGAUGAAGGCCCUAGGGUUGUAAAACUCUUUCGGCGGGGACGAUAAUGACGGUACCCGCAGAAGAAGCUCCGGCCAACUUCGUGCCCACAGCCGCGGUAAUACGAAGGGGGCUAGCGUUGUUCGGAAUUACUGGGCGUAAAGCGCGCGCAGGCGGUCUUUUAAGUCAGGGGUGAAAGCCCAGAGCUCAACUCUGGAAUUGCCUUUGAAACUAGAAGACUUGGGUACGGGAGAGGUGAGUGGAAUUCCGAGUGUAGAGGUGAAAUUCGUAGAUAUUCGGAAGAACACCAGUGGCGAAGGCGGCUCACUGGCCCGUUACCGACGCUCAGGCGCGACAGCGUGGGGAUCAAACAGG
rnacentral:rRNA from 1 species